GACGAACGCUGGCGGCGUGCUUAACACAUGCAAGUCGAACGGAAAGGCCCUGCUUUUGUGGGGUGCUCGAGUGGCGAACGGGUGAGUAACACGUGAGUAACCUGCCCUUGACUUUGGGAUAACUUCAGGAAACUGGGGCUAAUAUCGGAUAGGAGCUCCUGCUGCAUGGUGGGGGUUGGAAAGUUUCGGCGGUUGGGGAUGGACUCGCGGCUUAUCAGCUUGUUGGUGGGGUAGUGGCUUACCAAGGCUUUGACGGGUAGCCGGCCUGAGAGGGUGGCCGGCCACAAUGGGACUGAGAUACGGCCCAGACGCCUACGGGCGGCAGCAGUGGGGAAUAUGGCGCAAUGGGCGGAAGCCUGAUGCAGCAACGCCGCGUGCGGGAUGACGGCCUUCGGGUUGUAAACCGCUUUCGCCUGUGACGAAGCGUGAGUGACGGUAAUGGGUAAAGAAGCACCGGCUAACUACGUG
rnacentral:rRNA from 1 species